rnacentral:rRNA from 1 species
AUGGCUGCGCUUGGCGUCCUCCUCGUGAUGGUAGCAGCCAUGGUAGCAGCGGCAGCGGCAGCAGCAACGCCGAGCGCUCCUCGCCCCUUCUUUGUGUUCGGCGACUCCCUGGUGGACAGCGGCAACAACAACUACCUGGCCACCACGGCGCGCGCCGACUCGCCGCCCUACGGCCUCGACUACCCGACCCACCGCGCCACCGGCCGCUUCUCCAACGGCCUCAACGUCCCCGACAUCAUCAGCGAGCACCUCGGGGCCGAGCCCGUGCUGCCCUACCUCAGCCCCCACCUCGACGGCCACAAGCUGCUCGGCGGCGCCAACUUUGCGUCCGCCGGCGUCGGCAUCCUCAACGACACCGGCAUCCAGUUUGUGAACAUCAUCCGUAUACAGAAGCAGCUGCGCUACUUCGAGCAGUACCAGAGCAGGGUGCAGCGGCUGAUCGGCGGGCCGGCGACGCAGCGGCUGGUGUGGAGCGCGCUGGUGCUCAUCACGCUCGGCGGCAACGACUUCGUCAACAACUACUACCUGCUGCCCUUCUCCGCCAGGUCCCGCCAGUUCGCGCUCCCGGACUACGUCCGCUACCUCAUCGCCGAGUACAAGACCAUCCUCCAGCAGCUCCACGGCCUCGGCGCCCGCCGCGUCCUCGUCACCGGCUCGGGCCCCAUCGGCUGCGCGCCGGCGGAGCUCGCCACGCGUAGCGCCAACGGCGAGUGCGACCUGGAGCUGCAGCGCGCCGCCGCGCUCUACAACCCGCAGCUGGUGCAGAUGACCAAGGACCUCAACGCUCAGUUCGGCGCCGACGUGUUCGUCGCCGUCAACGCCUACCGGAUGCACAUGGACUUCAUCUCCGCCCCGGCGGCGUACGGCUUCGUCACGUCCAAGGUGGCGUGCUGCGGCCAGGGCCCGUACAACGGCGUGGGGCUGUGCACCGCCAUGUCCAGCGUCUGCCCGGACCGCUCCCUCUACGCCUUCUGGGACAACUUCCACCCCACCGAGAGGGCCAACCGCAUCAUCGUCAGCCAGUUCAUGGCCGGCUCCCCGGACUACAUGCACCCACUCAACCUCUCCACCAUCCUCGCCAUGGACGCCGCCGCAAUGCCAUAA